CCUGCCUCAGCCUCCUGAGUAGCUGGGAUUACAGCAUUUGCAGCAUUCCUACACGUGGAUGUGACCCUGAGGAGAUCGUAGAGGACACCAGCUGGGUGGAUAUGGUGCAGCAAAGACAGCAGAUCCAGGACGGGCAGGCAGGCCCUUGCCCCGACCUCCUCCCGACUCCAUGUAGACCUGAGGACAUGUCUCCCAAAGUCUCUGGCCUCCUGUCCUUCUGGGACCCUGGGAGAAGAAUACUCCACCUUCUUCUCAGGCAGCAUCCAGGUGCUGAGCCUCUUUCCUCACCUCCUCAUCUCACCCAUCAAUGAUCUCAGGACCUGGUUGAAGAGGCUCAAAGUAAUCUGGCUGAGAGUGGGGGGAGACGGGGAGGAAUGAGCAGCAAGCCCACCCUCCCUACACAAUGAGGUACCUGCUGCCACCCCCUAGGAACCCACUUCCUGUCGGUGGAGGUCCGGGCCAAAAUCAGGGGGAGCAGCAUUCACACCACGUGGAAGAAAACUUAAUCUCUAACCAAUGUACGUCUCACAGAUAUUGACUGAUGUCUCACGUCUCCCUCAAAUGUAAAAAAGCAAGCUGUGCCCCCACCACCUUGGGCACACGGCCUCAGGACCUCUUGAGGCUGUGUCACAGCACGUCCUUAAC